GACGAACGCUGGCGGCGUGCUUAACACAUACAAGUCGAACGAAGAGCGAUGGAAGCUUGCUUCUAUCAAUCUUAGUGGCGAACGGGUGAGUAACGCGUAAUCAACCUGCCCUUCAGAGGGGGACAACAGUUGGAAACGACUGCUAAUACCGCAUACGAUCCAAUCUCGGCAUCGGGACUGGAUGAAAGGUGGCCUCUAUUUAUAAGCUAUCACUGAAGGAGGGGAUUGCGUCUGAUUAGCUAGUUGGAGGGGUAACGGCCCACCAAGGCGAUGAUCAGUAGCCGGUCUGAGAGGAUGAACGGCCACAUUGGGACUGAGACACGGCCCAGACUCCUACGGGAGGCAGCAGUGGGGAAUCUUCCGCAAUGGACGAAAGUCUGACGGAGCAACGCCGCGUGAGUGAUGACGGCCUUCGGGUUGUAAAGCUCUGUUAAUCGGGACGAAUGGUUCUUGUGCGAAUAGUGCGAGGAUUUGACGGUACCGGAAUAGAAAGCCACGGCUAACUACGUG
rnacentral:rRNA from 1 species